rnacentral:rRNA from 1 species
GUGGGGAAUCUUCCGCAAUGGGCGAAAGCCUGACGGAGCAACGCCGCGUGAGUGAUGACGGCCUUCGGGUUGUAAAGCUCUGUUAUAUGGGACGAACGGGCAUGGGGCCAAUACCCUCAUGCAGUGACGGUACCGUAAGAGAAAGCCACGGCUAACUACGUGCCAGCAGCCGCGGUAAUACGUAGGUGGCAAGCGUUGUCAGGAAUUAUUGGGCGUAAAGGGCGUGUAGGCGGCCAGACAAGUCUGCCUUAAAAGUGCGGGGCUCAACCCCGUGAUGGGAUGGAAACUGUCGGGCUAGAGUGUCGGAGAGGAAAGCGGAAUUCCUAGUGUAGCGGUGAAAUGCGUAGAUAUUAGGAGGAACACCAGUGGCGAAAGCGGCUUUCUGGACGACAACUGACGCUGAGGCGCGAAAGCCAGGGGAGCAAACGGGAUUAGAUACCCUAGUAGUCC